UACGUAGGGGGCGAGCGUUGUCCGGAGUUACUGGGCGUAAAGCGCACGCAGGCGGUCUGUGAAGUUUGGAGUGACAGUUGGUGGCUCAACCACCAAAGUGCUUUGAAAACUGAUAGACUUGAGGGCUUCAGAGGGACACGGAAUUCCGGGUGGAGUGGUGAAAUGCGUAGAGAUCCGGAGGAACACCAAAGGCGAAGGGCAGUGUCCUGGGGAGUACCUGA
rnacentral:rRNA from 1 species